rnacentral:rRNA from 1 species
GUCCACGCCCUAAACGAUGGACACUCAGUGUGGGAGGGAUCGACCCCUUCCGUGCCGCACCUAACGGAUUAAGUGUCCCGCCUGGGGGAGUACGGCCGCAAGGUUGAAACUCAAAGGAAUUGACGGGGGCCCGCACAAGUGGUGGAGCAUGUGGUUCAAUUCGACGCAACGCGAAGAACCUUACCUGGGUUUGACAUGACGGUAGUAGUGAACCGAAAGGGGAACGAGCCCCGCAAGGGGGAGGCCGUCACAGGUGCUGCAUGGCUGUCGU